UACAGAGGUCUCGAGCGUUGUUCGGAUUCAUUGGGCGUAAAGGGUGCGUAGGUGGCUAGGUAAGUCGGAUGUGAAAUCCCGGGGCUCAACCCCGGAACUGCAUUCGAUACUGCCUGGCUAGAGUACUGGAGAGGAGAUUGGAAUUUACGGUGUAGCAGUGAAAUGCGUAGAUAUCGUAAGGAAGACCAGUGGCGAAGGCGGAUCUCUGGACAGGUACUGACACUGAGGCACGAAGGCCAGGGGAGCAAACGGG
rnacentral:rRNA from 1 species